rnacentral:lncRNA from 1 species
UAUUUUAUCCUUAUCCUUCUCUUUAAAUUAGAUCUUAUCCAUUAUAAUUAAAUAUUCAUACUUAAGUCUAAUCUCAUUAGAAUAUUAUUAUCUCAUAAUAAUUUAUGAAUAUUUAAUUAUUCUCUAAUCUAAUUAGAGAUUAAAUCUAUCGUAACAUUCAAAUUAUAAUUCUCACUAUUUUCACUAAACUAUUUAGUGUAUUAAUUAGACUCAUCUUAUCAAAUUGGAUGCACACAAUUCCCAUUGUGUGUGACCGCGUAGGUCCAUUAUCAUUCGGCAGUGGAAUUCAAUAUUAAACUCUUUAAUAUUGAAUUAGAACUCUUCUAAUCUAUGAAAUAAUUUAUUUUAAAUUAUUUCAGCUUCUCACUGUCCGUGAGUGACACCUAGCAGUAUAUCACGGUAAUCCAGAAUGAUGAUGAAAAAUGAACCUUUCCGCUAUCAGUUAUCGUGUGAUUAAUUCCUUCCAACACAACGUCCCGAUCGAACUAAAAUUAUGAUUACUCGCCAAAUCUUAUUAUUCGAUCAUAUGACUAGAAUAUCUAAAACUGACUCAAUAUGGUAACACAGCUGGAAACUCUUUCCACACACCACGUACCCUGGCCAAGGAUUUUUCGAGUCAAGUUCGACAGUCUACAUAGGACGUUCUCUCUCACUAUUGAGAGUGUUGAAUUCCUUAUUGCGCAUUCAUAUGCCUCCCCAUAUAAACUACUACAGCCAAUCAGUACCAGACAUAGACCAAUGAUUAGAGUCUAAGUAUUAGUACAGUUAAACAGUAGCAAUCUACAUGUGAAGCAACCAUGAUGCCUCAGGUCUAAGGAGUACUUCACACAACUGUAGCAAAGAACUAGUCACUGGCGAAUUCGGAACCAUGUGACUGUUCAACUAAAUGGUCACGCUCAGUGUACUUGUUCUCUAACAAGCACCUGCAUGCUUACUUUAGUGUCCCUACACUAAUGACUUGAGAUUCGUCACCUCAACUUAGAAGUAUAGCAUACACCGGCCUAUCCGGAAAUAUCAUCGUCCUUAUGAUAUUCCUAUGGCUAGGAGCAUUUAAGAAUCUUGUACAAAGAAAUAUAUAUCUCAAAUUCCUAACUCUUAGGAAUAUAUUUUCUUAACAAAGAUUCAAUGGACGAUUCAUAUAAAUGUAUUGUACUGCUAACAAUAAAUAUGAAUAAAACUUGCCCUUUAUUAAUUAAGAAAAAUACUUAAUAUGUUCACAAGCCUGUGUCACCGAUUGGCUUUAGGGUAUAUCACUAACAGCCGUGAGAGUUGAA